AUUGAACGCUGGCGGCAGGCCUAACACAUGCAAGUCGAACGAGGGGCGGACGGGUGAGGAAUGUCAGGGAAACUGCCGGAUGGAGGGGGAUAACGACGGGAAACGGUAGCUAAUACCGCAUACCAUCAGAUGUGCCCAGAUGGGAUUAGCUAGUAGGGUGGGUAACGGCUCACCUAGGCGACGAUCCCUAGCUGGUCUGAGAGGAUGAUCAGCCACACUGGAACUGAGACACGGUCCAGACUCCUACGGGAGGCAGCAGUGGGGAAUAUUGGACAAUGGGCGAAAGCCUGAUGCAGCCAUGCCGCGUGUAUGAAGAAGGCCUUCGGGUUGUAAAGUACUUUCAGCGGGGAGGCGUUACCCGCAGAAGAAGCACCGGCUAACUCCGUGCCAGCAGCCGCGGUAAUAC
rnacentral:rRNA from 1 species